rnacentral:tRNA from 1 species
CCGUAAGUUACGUAGUGAAACGCAUAUCAGAGACGGUCUUUUAAUCCGCGGGUUCUGGGUUCGAUUCCCAGUGGGCCCA